rnacentral:rRNA from 1 species
AUUGAACGCUGGCGGCAGGCCUAACACAUGCAAGUCGAGCGGAUGAAGGGAGCUUGCUCCUGGAUUCAGCGGCGGACGGGUGAGUAAUGCCUAGGAAUCUGCCUGGUAGUGGGGGAUAACGUCCGGACACGGGCGCUAAUACCGCAUACGUCCUGAGGGAGAAAGUGGGGGAUCUUCGGACCUCACGCUAUCAGAUGAGCCUAGGUCGGAUUAGCUAGUUGGUGGGGUAAAGGCCUACCAAGGCGACGAUCCGUAACUGGUCUGAGAGGAUGAUCAGUCACGCUGGAACUGAGACACGGUCCAGACUCCUACGGGAGGCAGCAGUGGGGAAUAUUGGACAAUGGGCGAAAGCCUGAUCCAGCCAUGCCGCGUGUGUGAAGAAGGUCUUCGGAUUGUAAAGCACUUUAAGUUGGGAGGAAGGGCAGUAAGUUAAUACCUUGCUGUUUUGACGUUACCAACAGAAUAAGCACCGGCUAACUUCGUG